GGUGAACGCUGGCGGCGUGCCUAAGACAUGCCAGUCGAGCGGGGCAGGUUUAUACCUGUUCAGCGGCGGACGGGUGAGUAACGCGUGGGUGACCUACCCGGAAGAGGCGGACAACCUGGGGAAACCCAGGCUAAUCCGCCAUGUGGUCCUGUCCUGUGGGGCAGGACUAAAGGGGCGACCCGCUUCCGGAUGGGCCCGCGUCCCAUCAGCUAGUUGGUGGGGUAAAGGCCCACCAAGGCGACGACGGGUAGCCGGUCUGAGAGGAUGGCCGGCCACAGGGGCACUGCGACACGGGCCCCACUCCUACGGGAGGCAGCAGUUAGGAAUCUUCCGCAAUGGACGGAAGUCUGACGGAGCGACGCCGCUUGGAGGAGGAAGCCCUGCGGGGUGUAAACUCCUGAACUGGGGACGAAAGCCCCGUGUAGGGGGAUGACGGUACCCAGGUAAUAGCGCCGGCCAACUCCGUG
rnacentral:rRNA from 1 species